rnacentral:rRNA from 1 species
UCCGUAGGUGAACCUGCGGAAGGAUCAUUAUCUAUUCCAUGAGGUGCGGUCGCGGCCCUCGGCGGGAGCAACAGCUACCGUCGGGCGGUAGAGGUAACACUUUCACGCGCCGCAUGUCUGAAUCCUUUUUUUACGAGCACCUUUCGUUCUCCUUCGGCGGGGCAACCUGCCGUUGGAACCUAUCAAAACCUUUUUUUUGCAUCUAGCAUUACCUGUUCUGAUACAAACAAUCGUUACAACUUUCAACAAUGGAUCUCUUGGCUCUGGCAUCGAUGAAGAACGCAGCGAAAUGCGAUAAGUAGUGUGAAUUGCAGAAUUCAGUGAAUCAUCGAAUCUUUGAACGCACAUUGCGCCCCUUGGUAUUCCAUGGGGCAUGCCUGUUCGAGCGUCAUCUACACCCUCAAGCUCUGCUUGGUGUUGGGCGUCUGUCCCGCCUCUGCGCGCGGACUCGCCCCAAAUUCAUUGGCAGCGGUCCUUGCCUCCUCUCGCGCAGCACAUUGCGCUUCUCGAGGUGCGCGGCCCGCGUCCACGAAGCAACAUUACCGUCUUUGACCUCGGAUCAGGUAGGGAUACCCGCUGAACUUAAGCAUAUCAAUAAGCGGAGGA